GAUGAAGAACGUAGCGAAAUGCGAUAAGUAAUGCGAAUUGCAGAAUUUCCGUGAGUCAUCGAAUCUUUGAACGCACAUUGCGCCCAUUGGUAUUCCGAUGGGCAUGCCUGUUCGAGCGUCAUUAUAACCCCUCAAGCUCAGCUUGGUGUUGGGGCCUGCUGCACUGGCAGCCCUUAAAAUCAGUGGCGGCGCCAUCUGGCUCUAAGCGUAGUAAUUCUUCUCGCUAUGGAGUCCUGGUGGAUGCUUGCCAUCAACCCCCAAUUUUUCUAUGGUUGACCUCGGAUCAGGUAGGGAUACCCGCUGAACUUAAGCAUAUCAAUAAGCGGAGGA
rnacentral:misc_RNA from 1 species